AUUUUUCCGUUAUUUCGCGACAUUCAUAGAGAAAAAAAAGAAACCAAAAAACCUUUCCGGUCAGAUUAAGAGAACCCACCAACAUUUUUGUCAGAUUAAGAAAAUAUGCUUUCAGGAUACCGAGAUAAACCUCCCCUAUGAAAAUCUGACGCACUCGAGUAUUUUUUU